GAUGAACGCUAGCGGCAGGCCUAACACAUGCAAGUCGAGGGGCAACGAGAUGGUAGCAAUACCAUUGUCGGCGACCGGCGAACGGGUGCGUAACGCGUGAACAACUUGCCGGACACAGGGGGAUAAUCGUCGGAAACGUCGUCUAAUAUCCCAUAACAUUGACAUGGGCCUCCAUGUUGAUUGAAAGCAAUUAUGCGGUGUCUGAUAGGUUCGCGUGACAUUAGCUAGUCGGUGGGGCAACGGCCCACCGAGGCGACGAUGUCUAGGGGUUCUGAGAGGAAGGCCCCCCACACUGGGACUGAGACACGGCCCAGACUCCUACGGGAGGCAGCAGUGAGGGAUAUUGGACAAUGGGCGGAAGCCUGAUCCAGCCAUGCCGCGUGAAGGAAUAAGGUCCUAUGGGUCGUAAACUUCUUUUGACGCAGAGCAAUAAGGGACACGCGUGUUCCGAUGAGAGUAUGCGUCGAAUAAGCAUCGGCUAACUCCGUGCCAGCAGCCGCGGUAAUACGGAGGAUGCGAGCGUUAUCCGGAUUUAUUGGGUUUAAAGGGUGCGUAGGCUGUUGGAUAAGUCAGCGGUGAAAUCACCACGCUUAACGUGUUGUGUGCCGUUGAAACUGUCUGGCUUGAAUGCGCUCGUCGUGAGAGGAAUGUGUGGUGUAGCGGUGAAAUGCAUAGAUAUCACACAGAACACCGAUUGCGAAGGCAUCUCACGAGAGCGUUAUUGACGCUGAUGCACGAAAGCGCGGGUAUCGAACAGGAUUAGAUACCCUGGUAGUCCGCGCUGUAAACGAUGAUGACUAACUGUUGGUUCCAAUGGGAUCAGUGGUCAAGCGAAAGCGUUAAGUCAUCCACCUGGGGAGUACGGCCGCAAGGCUGAAACUCAAAGGAAUUGACGGGGGCCCGCACAAGCGGAGGAACAUGUGGUUUAAUUCGAUGAUACGCGAGGAACCUUACCCGGGCUCGAACGGCGGAUGAAUAUGUUUGAGAGAGCAUAGUCGCAAGACAUCGUCGAGGUGCUGCAUGGUUGUCGUCAGCUGUGCCGUGAGGUGUCGGCUAAGUGCCAUACGAGCGCACCCUGCCGUAGUGCAUAGGAUAGCUGGACUCGUCGGACGCACG
rnacentral:rRNA from 1 species